rnacentral:lncRNA from 1 species
ACAUGCUUGUGAGUAUAUGUAGAUGGUGUGUUCCAUUGGAACAUUGUCUAUGUGACAGUGUGCUUAUGCAUACAGGUGAGUGUGUGUACAUAGUGUUGGUUACUUUUGAGCAUUGUGUGUGUCAGUGUGCUUAUGCAUAUAUGUGAGUGUAUACAGAUAGUGUUGGUUACAUUUGAGCAUUGUGUGUGUCAGUGCGCUUUUACAUUUGCACACUGCAUGUAAACUUCAGAGGACAAACUCAAGUAGUAGUCUUCAGCUACUGCCUACUUUUCCUUCCUUAGCCCAGCGUCUUUUACUGGCCUAGAACUGCCCAAGUAGGCUAGGCUGGCUGGCCAGCAAGCCCCAGCUCUCAAACCAUCUAUGCUUUUCAGUACUGUCAUUGUAAGAGUAUGGCAGCACAUCUAGGUUGUUGUUUUUGUUUGUUUGUUUUUUGUUUUUAAAUAGGUUCUAGGGAUCAAAACCAGAACCAUCUGCAAGUGAGGCAAGCAUUUCACUAAGCUCCUUUUCCUUCACUGGAACAUUUUGAAGAAACAGUUUAGCUAAGCCUAGUCAUGUGCAGGCCAUUAGGCUUGGCCUAGCUCAUGCUUCUCUGUCGGCUAUUCACAACCAAGAAACACAGACAUACCUUCAGUUUGUAGAGUGCUGUAGUGGCUCAUGCUCAGAGCUCAUUGGCCUGAGUCUUUCCAAACUCAUCUAUUUAAAAUGUGAGCCAAGCUGUCAACAGCAGAGCCAUCCAGUCCAUGUUCUCACAAGCUCAAUGCAAGAGCAGGUGGUCACCUGAUUCUGGAAGCAUUUGAAAUAUUCUUCCAGUGAUUUAGUUACUGCAGAGUACUGAUCAGUUCUCUGUUGACAGUUUAAAUUCAAAUGUGGAUGCUCUGAGGCUUGUACAAGGUAGAAGAGGACAGCUGAUGAAUGAAACAAGAAUCAACUGAAUGACUGCCCAAGAACGUGAAGCUAGCUAGGUCUGUUACCAAUGUUAUAACAGAGAGUUAUAACAGUUGACAGUCUUAAUGAAAAACAGUUGAGGCAUCUCUGUUGAAAUACCUGUUUAUCUCUACUAGAAAGGUUUGAGAAAAUUUGGUAGCUUGGUAAGUUUGUGGAAAGGAUUACUUUAAAUUUGUAUGUGGUAGCUUUUUUUUCCCCUUUAUUAGCAUGUUAUGCUGCUCAGGCAUUAGACACAAGCAUCACUGUCACUAGAUAUAGUGUAACUUAGACCUGACCUACCUCCAAAACACACGUGGCGCUGUCAGGGGUUGCCCUCCAGAUAGAAACUGACUCCGAAUCUCAGACUUCUAGAUGGGAAAUCUUUUGAGGCAAUCCAAAAUGCUACCAUAAAGAUGGCCAAAUGAUACCAAGACACGGUAGUCUUAUUUCAGUGUAAGUGUUAGAAAAAUCUGCCACUUGCUAACUCAAGAAAAUAAGGAACAGUACUGGCUUAUUAGACAUACGAGUAUGUGCACCUUCUGGAAUGACUUGACCUCGGCACUCAGAUCUCUUGGCUCUACCCUUGUUAUGCACUUGACUUUAAGGAAUAAGAAGGCUACAGCAUCCUAAGACUUAGCUGAAAAAGAGUGAGCAUACUUCUCUCUUAUUCGUUGCAUUAAAGUUAAAGACUGACUCUUCUUGGUGGUGACUGGGUCAUGUGUCCAUUUGUAGCCCAAUCCCUGUGUUCAGAGGGAUCAUCUAACUCAGCUCACCAUGUAUGGAGAUGUGCAUCACUCCUGAAGCAGAUGAUUUUUCUUCAAACAGAUGUCACAGAAAGUGUUGGAAGUAAGAGCUACCUCUAGGCUUGUCAAAAUGCCCAGACCUUGAAGGAAAACAAGUGUCAGAAACUCUUUUCCAUCUGCACACUACAGAGUUGCUAAUGUACAUUGCAGGUCUGAAUAGCCUAACUGGUCACCCUUUCAGGAAAACUGAUAACUCUCCUCUCAUAAGUUAAACCUCUAGCUUUUGAUGAAACUUUCAUUUUCUUCCAGUGUGUCUUAUUCACUAGGACAGUAUCAAAAAUGCCCUCAGCCCCAAAUGAAAGCAUGUGGUCACUUGUAGUGCCUAGUAACAGCCAUGGUCUUGAAAUAGAAUGAAGUUAUGGCACAGUUGUAAUUUUCAGUCUUGUUUUUAGUCCUAUUAUCCAAGACUAUUUGGUUAAGAGAGGACAGAAACAGAGCUUAGACCAGUAAACAGUUAUCUUUAAACAAAGUUACCUGAACACUUUUCCACUUAGAUUCUUUUCCUGUCAAUAAAGGUGAUUAAUGUUCUAAGUUGAGAGAACCAUAAAAGAUUUCCAAGUCCUUUGCAGAUGUAAGGUAAAUGCCUCCUGUCUACAUGACAAGAGAUCAGUAUCACCGUACAGGAUGACAACUCACUUUCUUUCCUAUCUUAAGGACCUUGAGUUCUAGUGAAAUGAUAAGUGAGGAUUGCUAUGCUAUUGGUCCUCAGUGAAGGGUACAUUUCCUGUGUUUAUUUUCAAAGGUGGGUGUUUAUCAGAUCUCAGUAAAACCUUUUCUCCUUAUACAGUGAUUUGCAGAUUCUAAAACAGUAAGACCAAAGAUUUUGUAGUUAAAAUGAAUGUCUAGUAGAAUUUUGUCUUAGAUUGACCUAUCAUUUUGAUUUGUGGUCUUUAGGAGAGCAUCAUCUGCACAUUUGUUCUUAUUGAAUCAAUGGCAAUAUGGAUAAGAGAGUCUACGUGAUUCUAUAAUGAAGCAUAGGGCUCAGCAUCAAGCCUACACAUGUGACUCUCCUGCUCUUUAUCUCUGUCUCGUCCUAGCUGGGUUUUUUGAUUGAUUGUUUGGUUUUGAGGCAUAUAACUUCAUUUUGAUGUUAAACUCGUAUUUCUAUUAAAAUAUUUUUUAUCUGAAUACAGGUUCCCCUUUCUCCCUUCAAUUUGCUCCCCACAGCCCCUUAUUAGAAAGGAACAGGCUUCU